CAAAGUAGAGCUUGUAGGAAGCAGCUCAUUUACACUGAGUAGGGAUUAGUGCAAAUCUAAUUAUUUUGA